rnacentral:lncRNA from 1 species
AACCCCCGCCUCCAUUCUCAACAUUUCCAAUUCUUGCAUCUAUUCUUAACAUUUCCAAUUCUUGCUCCCAUUCUCGACAUUUCCAAUCCCUGUUCCCAUUCUCGACAUUUCCAAUCCCUACUCUCAUUCUCGACAUUUCCAAUUCCUGCUCCCAAUCUUGACAUUUCCAACCCCCGCCUCCAUUCUCGACAUUUCCAAUCCCUGCUCCCAUUCUCGACAUUUUCAACUCUCGCCCCCAUUCUCGACAUUUCCAACCCCUACCUCUAUUCUCGAUAUUUCCAAUCUUUGCCUCCAUUCUCGACAUUUCCAACCCCUACCUCUAUUCUUGAUAUUUCCAAUCCUUGCCCUCAUUCUCAAUAUUUCCAAUCCCUGUCCCUAUUCUCGACAUUUCCAACCCCCACCUCUAUUCUCGACAUUUCCAAUCCCUGCCUCUACUCUUUACAUUUCCAAUCCUUGCCCCCAUUCUUGACAUUUCCAACCCUUGUCUCUAUUCUUGAUAUUUCCAAUCUUUGCCGCCAUUCUCAACAUUUCCAAUCCCUAUCCCCAUUCUCAACAUUUCCAACUCUUGUCUCUAUUCUUGACAUUUCCAAUUCUUGCCCCCAUUCUCAACAUUUCCAAUUCUUGCCCCCAUUCUCAACAUUUCCAAUUCCUGCCCCCAUUCUCAACAUUUCCACCCCCUGCCUCUAUUCUUGACAUUUCCAAUCCUUGCCUCCAUUCUCGACAUUUCCAACCCCUGCCUCUAUUCUUGACAUUUCCAAUCUUUGCUCCCAUUCUCGAUAUUUCCAACCCCUACCUCUAUUCUUGAUAUUUCCAAUCUUUGCCUCCAUUCUCAACAUUUCCAAUCCCUGCCUCCAUUCUCGACAUUUCCAACCCCCGCCUCCAUUCUCAACAUUUCCAACCCCCGCUUCCAUUCUCGACAUUUCCAACCCUUGCCUUCAUUCUCAACAUUUCCAACCCCCACCUCUAUUGUCGACAUUUCCAACCCCCACAUCUAUUCUUGAUAUUUCCAACUCUUGCCUCCAUUCUCGACAUUUCCAACCCCUGCCUCUAUUCUUGACAUUUCCAAUCAUUACUCCCAUUCUCAACAUUUCCAAUCUUUGCUCCCAUUCUCAACAUUUCCAACUCCUGUCCCCAUUCUCAAUAUUUCUAACCCUUGCCUCCAUUCUCGACAUUUCCAACCCCCGCCUCCAUUCUCGACAUUUCCAACCCCCACCUCCAUUCUCGACAUUUCCAAC